rnacentral:rRNA from 1 species
UACGGAGGUGGCGAGCGUUGUUCGGAAUUACUGGGCGUAAAGGGCGCGUAGGCGGCAAGGCAAGUCAGGUGUGAAAGCCCCGGGCUUAACUCGGGAAUUGCAUCUGAAACUGCUGUGCUUGAGUUCUGGAGGGGGUAGUGGAAUUCCCAGUGUAGCGGUGAAAUGCGUAGAUAUUGGGAGGAACACCUGCGGCGAAGGCGGCUACCUGGACAGAAACUGACGCUGAGGCGCGAAAGCUAGGGGAGCGAACGGG